rnacentral:rRNA from 1 species
AUUGAACGCUGGCGGCAGGCCCAACACAUGCAAGUCGAGCGGAUGAAGGGAGCUUGCUCCUGGAUUCAGCGGCGGACGGGUGAGUAAUGCCUAGGAAUCUGCCUGGUAGUGGGGGAUAACGUCCGGGAACGGGCGCUAAUACCGCAUACGUCCUGAGGGAGAAAGUGGGGGAUCUUCGGACCUCACGCUAUCAGAUGAGCCUAGGUCGGAUUAGCUAGUUGGUGGGGUAAAGGCCUACCAAGGCGACGAUCCGUAACUGGUCUGAGAGGAUGAUCAGUCACACUGGAACUGAGACACGGUCCAGACUCCUACGGGAGGCAGCAGUGGGGAAUAUUGGACAAUGGGCGAAAGCCUGAUCCAGCCAUGCCGCGUGUGUGAAGAAGGUCUUCGGAUUGUAAAGCACUUUAAGUUGGGAGGAAGGGCAGUAAGUUAAUACCUUGCUGUUUUGACGUUACCAACAGAAUAAGCACCGGCUAACUUCGUG